CAGGUAGGUGGUCUGUUAAGUCUUCUGUGAAAAUCCGGGGCUCAACCCCGCGAAAUGCAGGUGAAACUGGCAGACUGGAGACCGGUAGAGGCUAGCGGAAUUCCUGGUGUAGCGGUGGAAUGCGUAAAUAUCAGGAAGAACACCUGUGGCGAAGGCGGCUAGCUGGGCCGGUUCUGACACUAAACUGCGAAAGCGUGGGGAGCAAACA
rnacentral:rRNA from 1 species